rnacentral:rRNA from 1 species
AUUGAACGCUGGCGGCAUGCCUUACACAUGCAAGUCGAACGGCAGCACGGGAGCAAUCCUGGUGGCGAGUGGCGAACGGGUGAGUAAUAUAUCGGAACGUGCCCAGUCGUGGGGAUAACGUAGCGAAAGCUACGCUAAUACCGCAUACGAUCUAUGGAUGAAAGCGGGGGAUCGCAAGACCUCGCGCGAUUGGAGCGGCCGAUAUCAGAUUAGGUAGUUGGUGAGGUAAAGGCUCACCAAGCCGACGAUCUGUAGCUGGUCUGAGAGGACGACCAGCCACACUGGGACUGAGACACGGCCCAGACUCCUACGGGAGGCAGCAGUGGGGAAUUUUUGGACAAUGGGCGCGAGCCUGAUCCAGCAAUGCCGCGUGCAGGAUGAAGGCCUC